rnacentral:rRNA from 1 species
CGUGAUUUGGGCUAUAUUACGGACCCAAAAUUACUUGUUUCAGCAUUGUUUUCGAAUAUUUUUCAUGCAUCAAAGCUCGUUAAGACUAGAUUGGGUAUCCCUACAUAGCGGGUGGGACCCACGGCGAACGGUUCAUCAAGACUUCAAAAACGAAUAUAUACGAUUGCAUUGCAUGUACUAACGGAUGCGAUCAUACCAGCACUAAUGCACCGGAUCCCAUCAGAACUCCGCAGUUAAGCGUUCUUGGGCGAGAGUAGUACUAGGAUGGGUGACCUCCCGGGAAGUCCUCGUGUUGCAUCCCUCUUUUAUGUUUAACCUUUUUUUUUUUGGUUAAAACUUUAUGACUCCAUAACUUCUAUACCGUGAGGCCAAACUUGGCAUGUGAUACCUUUUCGGAAAGCCCAAAGACAGCCCUCCGACGAAAGAAGCAGGACAAUGGAACUUUUCCAUUGACUUUUUGUGGACCCCAAAUUUUGACCUUUAACUACUUUUUCGGG